GUGAUCGAUCCGAUCAAUGCACAGAUCACUUUCCUUCUGGAUGGACGAGACUUGAGUCCACAGUGUAGGGACACUGAAGUGAUAGUGCAGGUGCUUGUUGGAGAACAAGGGUACUGAGCGUGACCAAGACAAGAAGUCACUUGGAUGUCUAUCCACUCAUCAGUGACUUGCUUGAUGUUGCAGUAGUGUGACUGGUCCUUUGACCUGCGAUGCUUCGGCUACUCACAGUGAGGUUAUUGUAGUUUGAC
rnacentral:lncRNA from 1 species